rnacentral:tRNA from 1 species
GGUUGUAGCUCAGUGGUAGAGCGUUUGCCUCACAUGCAUGAGGCACUGAGUUUGAUCCUCAGUACCA